rnacentral:rRNA from 1 species
AGGCAGCAGUGGGGAUAUUGGACAAUGGGGGGAACCCUGAUCCAGCGACGCCGCGUGAGUGAAGAAGUAUUUCGGUAUGUAAAGCUCUAUCAGCAGGGAAGAAAGAAAUGACGGUACCUGAGUAAGAAGCCCCGGCUAACUACGUGCC